GAGUUUGAUCCUGGCUCAGAUUGAACGCUGGCGGAAUGCUUUACACAUGCAAGUCGAGCGGCAGCGCGGGGCAACCUGGCGGCGAGCGGCGAACGGGUGAGUAAUGCAUCGGAACAUGUCCAAGUCGUGAGGGAUAGCCCGGCGAAAGCCGGAUUAAUACCGCAUACGCCCGAGAGGGGAAAGCGGGGGACCGCAAGGCCUCGCGCGAUUGGGUUGGCCGAUGUCCGAUUAGCUAGUUGGCGGGGUAAGAGCCCACCAAGGCGAUGAUCGGUAGCUGGUCUGAGAGGAUGAUCAGCCACACUGGGACUGAGACACGGCCCAGACUCCUACGGGAGGCAGCAGUGGGGAAUUUUGGACAAUGGGGGAAACCCUGAUCCAGCCAUUCCGCGUGAGUGAAGAAGGCCUUCGGUUGUAA
rnacentral:rRNA from 1 species